rnacentral:rRNA from 1 species
GACGAACGCUGGCGGCGUGCUUAACACAUGCAAGUCGAACGGAAAGGCCCUGCUGUUGUGGGGUGCUCGAGUGGCGAACGGGUGAGUAACACGUGAGUAACCUGCCCUUGACUUUGGGAUAACUUCAGGAAACUUGGGCUAAUACCGGAUAGGAGCUCCUGCUGCAUGGUGGGGGUUGGAAAGUUUCGGCGGUUGGGGAUGGACUCGCGGCUUAUCAGCUUGUUGGUGGGGUAGUGGCUUACCAAGGCUUUGACGGGUAGCCGGCCUGAGAGGGUGACCGGCCACAUUGGGACUGAGAUACGGCCCAGACUCCUACGGGAGGCAGCAGUGGGGAAUAUUGCACAAUGGGCGGAAGCCUGAUGCAGCAACGCCGCGUGCGGGAUGACGGCCUUCGGGUUGUAAACCGCUUUCGCCUGUGACGAAGCGUGAGUGACGGUAAUGGGUAAAGAAGCACCGGCUAACUACGUG